AAAUUGAAGAGUUUGAUCAUGGCUCAGAUUGAACGCUGGCGGCAGGCCUAACACAUGCAAGUCGAGCGGUAGCACAGAGAGCUUGCUCUCGGGUGACGAGCGGCGGACGGGUGAGUAAUGUCUGGGAAACUGCCUGAUGGAGGGGGGGAUAACUACUGGAAACGGUAGCUAAUACCGCAUAACGUCGCAAGACCAAAGUGGGGGACCUUCGGGCCUCAUGCCAUCAGAUGUGCCCAGAUGGGAUUAGCUAGUAGGUGGGGUAACGGCUCACCUAGGCGACGAUCCCUAGCUGGUCUGAGAGGAUGACCAGCCACACUGGAACUGAGACACGGUCCAGACUCCUACGGGAGGCAGCAGUGGGGAAUAUUGCACAAUGGGCGCAAGCCUGAUGCAGCCAUGCCGCGUGUGUGAAGAAGGCCUUCGGGUUGUAAAGCACUUUCAGCGGGGAGGAAGGCGUUAAGGUUAAUAACCUUGGCGAUUGACGUUACCCGCAGAAGAAGCACCGGCUAACUCCGUGCCAGCAGCCGCGGUAAUACGGAGGGUGCAAGCGUUAAUCGGAAUUACUGGGCGUAAAGCGCACGCAGGCGGUCUGUCAAGUCGGAUGUGAAAUCCCCGGGCUCAACCUGGGAACUGCAUUCGAAACUGGCAGGCUAGAGUCUUGUAGAGGGGGGUAGAAUUCCAGGUGUAGCGGUGAAAUGCGUAGAGAUCUGGAGGAAUACCGGUGGCGAAGGCGGCCCCCUGGACAAAGACUGACGCUCAGGUGCGAAAGCGUGGGGAGCAAACAGGAUUAGAUACCCUGGUAGUCCACGCCGUAAACGAUGUCGAUUUGGAGGUUGUGCCCUUGAGGCGUGGCUUCCGGAGCUAACGCGUUAAAUCGACCGCCUGGGGAGUACGGCCGCAAGGUUAAAACUCAAAUGAAUUGACGGGGGCCCGCACAAGCGGUGGAGCAUGUGGUUUAAUUCGAUGCAACGCGAAGAACCUUACCUGGUCUUGACAUCCACAGAACUUUCCAGAGAUGGAUUGGUGCCUUCGGGAACUGUGAGACAGGUGCUGCAUGGCUGUCGUCAGCUCGUGUUGUGAAAUGUUGGGUUAAGUCCCGCAACGAGCGCAACCCUUAUCCUUUGUUGCCAGCGGUCCGGCCGGGAACUCAAAGGAGACUGCCAGUGAUAAACUGGAGGAAGGUGGGGAUGACGUCAAGUCAUCAUGGCCCUUACGACCAGGGCUACACACGUGCUACAAUGGCAUAUACAAAGAGAAGCGACCUCGCGAGAGCAAGCGGACCUCAUAAAGUAUGUCGUAGUCCGGAUUGGAGUCUGCAACUCGACUCCAUGAAGUCGGAAUCGCUAGUAAUCGUAGAUCAGAAUGCUACGGUGAAUACGUUCCCGGGCCUUGUACACACCGCCCGUCACACCAUGGGAGUGGGUUGCAAAAGAAGUAGGUAGCUUAACCUUCGGGAGGGCGCUUACCACUUUGUGAUUCAUGACUGGGGUGAAGUCGUAACAAGGUAACCGUAGGGGAACCUGCGGUUGGAUCACCUCCUUACCUUAAAGAA
rnacentral:rRNA from 1 species